rnacentral:rRNA from 1 species
UGGGGAAUCUUCCGCAAUGGGCGAAAGCCUGACGGAGCAACGCCGCGUGAGUGAAGACGGCCUUCGGGUUGUAAAACUCUGUGAUUCGGGACGAAAGAUAAGCAGACGAAUAAUCUGCAUAAGUGACGGUACCGAAAAAGCAAGCCACGGCUAACUACGUGCCAGCAGCCGCGGUAAUACGAAGGGGGCUAGCGUUGUUCGGAUUUACUGGGCGUAAAGCGCACGUAGGCGGACUAUUAGGUCAGGGGUGAAAUCCCGGGGCUCAACCCCGGAAAUGCCUUUGAUAAUGGUAGUCUUGAGUUCGAGAGAGAUGAGUGGAAUUCCGAGUGUAGAGGUGAAAGUCGUAGAUAGUCGGGGGAACACCAGUGGCGAAGGCGGGUCACUGGCUCGAUACUGACGCUGAGGUGCGAAAGCGUGGGGAGCAAACAGG